rnacentral:ncRNA from 1 species
CCGAGUCCCGACGCACUCCCCCCCCCCGGCGCCGGGGCUCCUCCCGAGCCGGGCCUCGGCGCCACUCCCCCCUGGCGCCGGGGCCCGGCUCCACU